rnacentral:rRNA from 1 species
AUGAACGCUAGCUACAGGCUUAACACAUGCAAGUCGAGGGGCAGCAUGGUCUUAGCUUGCUAAGGCCGAUGGCGACCGGCGCACGGGUGAGUAACACGUAUCCAACCUGCCGUCUACUCUUGGACAGCCUUCUGAAAGGAAGAUUAAUACAAGAUGGCAUCAUGAGUCCGCAUGUUCACAUGAUUAAAGGUAUUCCGGUAGACGAUGGGGAUGCGUUCCAUUAGAUAGUAGGCGGGGUAACGGCCCACCUAGUCUUCGAUGGAUAGGGGUUCUGAGAGGAAGGUCCCCCACAUUGGAACUGAGACACGGUCCAAACUCCUACGGGAGGCAGCAGUGAGGAAUAUUGGUCAAUGGGCGAGAGCCUGAACCAGCCAAGUAGCGUGAAGGAUGACUGCCCUAUGGGUUGUAAACUUCUUUUAUAAAGGAAUAAAGUCGGGUAUGUAUACCCGUUUGCAUGUACUUUAUGAAUAAGGAUCGGCUAACUCCGUGCCAGCAGCCGCGGUAAUACGGAGGAUCCGAGCGUUAUCCGGAUUUAUUGGGUUUAAAGGGAGCGUAGAUGGAUGUUUAAGUCAGUUGUGAAAGUUUGCGGCUCAACCGUAAAAUUGCAGUUGAUACUGGAUAUCUUGAGUGCAGUUGAGGCAGGCGGAAUUCGUGGUGUAGCGGUGAAAUGCUUAGAUAUCACGAAGAACUCCGAUUGCGAAGGCAGCCUGCUAAGCUGCAACUGACAUUGAGGCUCGAAAGUGUGGGUAUCAAACAGGAUUAGAUACCCUGGUAGUCCACACGGUAAACGAUGAAUACUCGCUGUUUGCGAUAUACUGCAAGCGGCCAAGCGAAAGCGUUAAGUAUUCCACCUGGGGAGUACGCCGGCAACGGUGAAACUCAAAGGAAUGGACGGGGGCCCGCACAAGCGGAGGAACAUGUGGUUUAAUUCGAUGAUACGCGAGGAACCUUACCCGGGCUCAAACGCACGACGGCGGCACGUGAAAGCGUGCUUACCUACGGGACGUUGUGCGAGGUGCUGCAUGGUUGUCGUCAGCUCGUGCCGUGAGGUGUCGGCUUAAGUGCCAUAACGAGCGCAACCCUUGUUGUCAGUUACUAACAGGUUUCGCUGAGGACUCUGACAAGACUGCCAUCGUAAGAUGUGAGGAAGGUGGGGAUGACGUCAAAUCAGCACGGCCCUUACGUCCGGGGCUACACACGUGUUACAAUGGGGGGUACAGAGGGCCGCUACCACGCGAGUGGAUGCCAAUCCCAAAAACCUCUCUCAGUUCGGACUGGAGUCUGCAACCCGACUCCACGAAGCUGGAUUCGCUAGUAAUCGCGCAUCAGCCACGGCGCGGUGAAUACGUUCCCGGGCCUUGUACACACCGCCCGUCAAGCCAUGGGAGCCGGGGGUACCUGAAGUGCGUAACCGCGAGGAGCGCCCUAGGGUAAAACUGGUGACUGGGGCU